rnacentral:rRNA from 1 species
AUGAUACGGUGCCCGGCCCCCCUCCCGGAGACCGCGCCGGAUGCCGUGCUGGUCAGGAUGCUGAAGGUUGCGCCUUCAGAGGAAGGCGAAGGGGAGAACAGGGACACUACCGCCUCUACCAAGGAGGCUUUGGAGAAAGGGGGAAUCGAGAAUCCCUCCUUCCAAGGGGAGAAGAGGACCGCUUCUGAAAACCUGGAAGCCAAGGCCUUGAAGCGGGGGAAGAGAUCUUCACCAGAGGGUCCUGCGUCCGGGGAGGCCCCGGCCGCACUAUCUCCCCUAAGGAAUCAGCCCUCCAGCGAGCCGUAA